rnacentral:tRNA from 1 species
AAAUUAUAGUUUAAAAAAUAUUUUAUUUACAUUAAAAAGUUUUCUAUAAGGGGAAUGAUUUGAA